CAUCAUUGGCUAGGGCCGAGGUGCUGGGAAUGCCUUAUUUGCAUAAAGGGGAAUUCCAGGUGUUUGCUGGACAUGACCUUAUAAGAAAGUAAGCCUAACCUGGCAGGGACUGACCAUCUGUGACUGACCUACUGUGGUGGAGACAAAGGUGGGGGCCCAGGACUUUGUGGGCCAGGACAUGCAGACCCAGGACAGGGAAGGGAGUGGCCCUCACUCCUAUUGCUCUCUAGAUGAGAUUUCUGGGAUUGGACACAACUUGACCUCAGUCCUGCUCCAGACUGGCUCCUCCCAGUUCCACGGUACCCUGGUGCCACAGUCAUCCACCGCUUCUGCCUUUUACAGACUUUCUUCUGCUCCUUCUUCCUCAAUGAUCCCUGAGCCUUGGGAGGAGGAGUUGUAAUAUAGAGAUAGCCCCUUAAGGCCCGAGCUUUCCCCAAUCUCUGCACCUUGACUAUUGUAGAAACUCAUAUACAUUCACCUAUUUUAAUAAAGCAAGUUAGGUAGUUACCCUAUAACAAAGCACAAAGCCCCUACUAGACACCGCAGACUAACAAACAAAAGUCUCAGUGCCAAGAAUCAGUUUCCUCUUUUGGAGUCAUGGAUCAGUGAGGUCCCAUAGAGUACUGGACAUGACCGUUACAGAGUAUCGCCAUCCCUCUCGGGACUCUUCAGAACUUGAUGACAAGAUCCUAUCACUGAGGACAAACACAAGUAAGUCCUAGAGCAUGGGUAAAUAGAGCUGGAACGCGCCUGGAAGUUUCAUCUCGUCCCUCUUGCCUUCCUAGUGUCAGAAGGUGUGACAGGCUCUAGAAAGGAAGAGAUCGGCACCUUACCCAACUGUAAACUCUGAGAGCUUUAUUAAUGAGACUGGUCUGGCAAGACAUGGCCAGCAGUGCAAAAGUGGCAAAUGUCAUGGAAGCAACUAACCAUGUUUUGACUGGACUUAAGGCCCGCCCUUAGGAUGAAGCCACACCUGGCACUGUUGUUGGGGCCAAGAACCCGUGGCUAGUAAGGUCCUAGGUACAGGGGAGAGUCUGCUACCAUUCUGCCAAAUGGUCAGUAUUAAACUGAUAUCCUAGUGACUAAUAGUUACACCCCAUAGAUUUGUGCACCUCUCAACCCUCAUUAGAAAAGCUUUAUUCCAGGUGCUGGAGAGAUGGCUCAGUGGUUAAGAGCACUGACUGCUCUUUCAGAGGUCCUGAGUUCAAUUCCCCGCAACCACAUGGUGGCUCACAACCAUCUGUAAUGGGAUCUGAUGCCCUCUACUGAUGUGUCUGAAGACAGCUACAGUGUACUUACAUAAAAUAAAUAAAUAAAUAAAUAAAUAAAUAAAUGUUUAAAAAAAAAAGAAAGAAAGAAAAGAAAGAAAAACUUAGCCGGGCGUGGUGGCGCACGCCUUUAAUCCCAGCACUCGGGAGGCAGAGGCAGGUGGAUUUCUGAGUUCGAGGCCAGCCUGGUCUACAAAGUGAGUUCCAGGAUAGCCAGGGCCAUACAGAGAAACCCUGUCUCGAAAAAACCAA
rnacentral:lncRNA from 1 species